GAUGAAGAACGCAGCGAAAUGCGCUAAGUAAUGUGAAUUGCAGAUUUCAGUGAAUCAUCGAAUCUUUGAACGCACCUUGCGCUCCUUGGUAUUCCGAGGAGCAUGCCUGUUUGAGUGUCAUUAAAUUCUCAACUCUCCAACUGUUGUCAUGACUGGUGGUAGAGCUUGGACGUGAGGGUUCUGCCGGCUCCUUGUUGAGUCUGGCUCCCUUGAAAAUGAUUAGCGCAGCUUUGCACUGUCCGCUUCAGGUGUGAUAAUUUAUCUACGCCCGACCAGCGACGCGCAUGAAUGGCUUUGUGCUUCUAACCGUCUCGAAAGAGACAAUACCUUUUGAACUUGACCUCAAAUCAGGUAGGACUACCCGCUGAACUUAAGCAUAUCAAUAAGCGGAGGA
rnacentral:misc_RNA from 1 species